UACAGAGGUCUCAAGCGUUGUUCGGAAUUACUGGGCGUAAAGGGCUCGUAGGUGGCCAACUAAGUCAGACGUGAAAUCCCUCGGCUUAACCGGGGAACUGCGUCUGAUACUGGAUGGCUUGAGUUCGGGAGAGGGAUGCGGAAUUCCAGGUGUAGCGGUGAAAUGCGUAGAUAUCGAGAGGAACACCAGUGGCGAAGGCGAGUCCCUGGACAACACCUGACACUGAGGCACGAAAGCUAGGGGAGCAAACAGG
rnacentral:rRNA from 1 species